AGUGAACGCUGGCGGUAGGCCUAACACAUGCAAGUCGAACGGCAGCACAGUAAGAGCUUGCUCUUACGGGUGGCGAGUGGCGGACGGGUGAGGAAUACAUCGGAAUUUACUUUUUCGUGGGGGAUAACGUAGGGAAACUUACGCUAAUACAGCAUACGACCUACGGGUGAAAGCAGGGGAACUUGGGACCUCGCGCGAGUGAAUGAGACGAUGUCGGAUUAGCUAGUUGGCGGGGUAAAGGCCCACCAAGGCGACGAUCCGUAGCUGGUCUGAGAGGAUGAUCAGCCACACUGGAACUGAGACACGGUCCAGACUCCUACGGGAGGCAGCAGUGGGGAAUAUUGGACAAUGGGCGCAAGCCUGAUCCAGCCAUACCGCGUGGGUGAAGAAGGCCUUCGGGUUGUAAAGCCCUUUUGUUGGGAAAGAAAAGCAGCAGGUUAAUACCCCGCUGUUCUGACGGUACCCAAAGAAUAAGCACCGGCUAACUUCGUG
rnacentral:rRNA from 1 species